GACGAACGCUGGCGGCGUGCUUAACACAUGCAAGUCGAACGGAAAGGCCCUGCUUUUGUGGGGUGCUCGAGUGGCGAACGGGUGAGUAACACGUGAGUAACCUGCCCUUGACUUUGGGAUAACUUCAGGAAACUGGGGCUAAUACCGGAUAGGAGCUCCUGCUGCAUGGUGGGGGUUGGAAAGUUUCGGCGGUUGGGGAUGGACUCGCGGCUUAUCAGCUUGUUGGUGGGGUAGUGGCUUACCAAGGCUUUGACGGGUAGCCGGCCUGAGAGGGUGACCGGCCACAUUGGGACUGAGAUACGGCCCAGACUCCUACGGGAGGCAGCAGUGGGGAAUAUUGCACAAUGGGCGGAAGCCUGAUGCAGCAACGCCGCGUGCGGGACGACGGCCUUCGGGUUGUAAACCGCUUUCGCCUGUGACGAAGCGUGAGUGACGGUAAUGGGUAAAGAAGCACCGGCUAACUACGUGCCAGCAGCCGCGGUGAUACGUAGGGUGCGAGCGUUGUCCGGAUUUAUUGGGCGUAAAGGGCUCGUAGGUGGUUGAUCGCGUCGGAAGUGUAAUCUUGGGGCUUAACCCUGAGCGUGCUUUCGAUACGGGUUGACUUGAGGAAAGGUAGGGGAGAAAUGGAAUUCCUGGUGGAGCGGUGGAAUGCGCAGAUAUCAGGAGGAACACCAGUGGCGAAGGCGGUUCUCUGGGCCUUUCCUGACGCUGAGGAGCGAAAGCGUGGGGAGCGAACAGGCUUAGAUACCCUGGUAGUCCACGCUGUAAACGGUGGGUACUAGGUGUGGGGUCCAUUCCACGGGUUCCGUGCCGUAGCUAACGCUUUAAGUACCCCGCCUGGGGAGUACGGCCGCAAGGCUAAAACUCAAAGGAAUUGACGGGGCCCCGCACAAGCGGCGGAGCAUGCGGAUUAAUUCGAUGCAACGCGUAGAACCUUACCUGGGUUUGACAUGGAUCGGGAGCGCUCAGAGAUGGGUGUGCCUCUUUUGGGGUCGGUUCACAGGUGGUGCAUGGCUGUCGUCAGCUCGUGUCGUGAGAUGUUGGGUUAAGUCCCGCAACGAGCGCAACCCUUGUUCACUGUUGCCAGCACGUUAUGGUGGGGACUCAGUGGAGACCGCCGGGGUCAACUCGGAGGAAGGUGGGGAUGACGUCAAGUCAUCAUGCCCCUUAUGUCCAGGGCUUCACGCAUGCUACAAUGGCUGGUACAGAGAGUGGCGAGCCUGUGAGGGUGAACGAAUCUCGGAAAGCCGGUCUCAGCUCGGAUUGGGGUCUGCAACUCGACCUCAUGAAGUCGGAGUCGCUAGUAAUCGCAGAUCAGCAACGCUGCGGUGAAUACGUUCCCGGGGCU
rnacentral:rRNA from 1 species